rnacentral:rRNA from 1 species
AACGAACGCUGGCGGCAGGCCUAACACAUGCAAGUCGAGCGAACCUUCGGGUUAGCGGCGGACGGGUUAGUAACGCGUGGGAAUGUACCCUUCUCUACGGAAUAGCCUCGGGAAACUGAGAGUAAUACCGUACACGCCCUUUUGGGGAAAGAUUUAUCGGAGAAGGAUCAGCCCGCGUUAGAUUAGAUAGUUGGUGGGGUAAUGGCCUACCAAGUCGACGAUCUAUAGCUGGUUUUAGAGGAUGAUCAGCCACACUGGAACUGAGACACGGUCCAG